rnacentral:rRNA from 1 species
CACGUAGUUAGCCGGGGCUUCUUACUCAGGUACCGUCAUUUUCUUCCCUGCUGAUAGAGCUUUACAUACCGAAAUACUUCCUCACUCACGCGGCGUCGCUGCAUCAGGGUUUCCCCCAUUGUGCAAUAUUCCCCACUGCUGCCUCCCGUAGGAGUUUGGGCCGUGUCUCAGUCCCAAUGUGGCCGGUCAUCCUCUCAAAUCGGCUAUCGAUCGUCGCUUUGGUGGGCCGUUACCCCGCAACUGGCUAAUCGAACGCGGGUCCAUCUCAUACCACCGGAGUUUUUACCCCCGCACCAUGCGGUGCUGUGGUCUUAUGCGGUAUUAACAGUCGUUUCCAACUGUUAUCCCCCUGUACUGAGACAGGUUACCCACGCGUUACUCACCCGUCCGCCACUCGAAAUAAAGUCUUCCGCCCGAAGGUUUCCGUCUCCACUUCUCGUUCGACUUGCAUGUGUUAAGCACGCCGCCAGCGUUCAUCCUGAGCCAGGAUCAAACUCU